AGAGUUUGAUCCUGGCUCAGGACGAACGCUGGCGGCGUGCCUAAUACAUGCAAGUCGAACGAACCGACGAAAAGCUUGCUUUUCUGACGUGAGUGGCGGACGGGUGAGUAACACGUGGGCAACCUGCCUAUCAGUUGGGGAUAACUCCGGGAAACCGGGGCUAAUACCGAAUAAUAACGGGCGUCGCAUGACGCUAGUUUGAAAGAUGGUUUCGGCUAUCGCUGAUAGAUGGGCCCGCGGUGCAUUAGCUAGUUGGUGGGGUAAUGGCUCACCAAGGCAACGAUGCAUAGCCGACCUGAGAGGGUGAUCGGCCACACUGGGACUGAGACACGGCCCAGACUCCUACGGGAGGCAGCAGUAGGGAAUCUUCCGCAAUGGACGAAAGUCUGACGGAGCAACGCCGCGUGUGUGAAGAAGGUUUUCGGAUCGUAAAGCACUGUUGUUAGAGAAGAACAAGGAUAAGAGUAACUGCUUGUCCCUUGACGGUAUCUAACCAGAAAGCCACGGCUAACUACGUGCCAGCAGCCGCGGUAAUACGUAGGUGGCAAGCGUUGUCCGGAUUUAUUGGGCGUAAAGCGAGCGCAGGCGGUUUCUUAAGUCUGAUGUGAAAGCCCCCGGCUUAACCGGGGAGGGUCAUUGGAAACUGAGAGACUUGAAUGCAGGAGAGGUAAGUGGAAUUCCACGUGUAGCGGUGAAAUGCGUAGAUAUGUGGAGGAACACCAGUGGCGAAGGCGGCUUACUGGCCUGUAAUUGACGCUGAGGCUCGAAAGCGUGGGGAGCAAACAGGAUUAGAUACCCUGGUAGUCCACGCCGUAAACGAUGAGUGCUAAGUGUUAGGGGGUUUCCGCCCCUUAGUGCUGCAGCUAACGCAUUAAGCACUCCGCCUGGGGAGUACGACCGCAAGGUUGAAACUCAAAGGAAUUGACGGGGGCCCGCACAAGUGGUGGAGCAUGUGGUUUAAUUCGAAGCAACGCGAAGAACCUUACCAGGUCUUGACAUCCUUUGACCACUCUGGAGACAGAGCUUUCCCUUCGGGGACAAAGUGACAGGUGGUGCAUGGUUGUCGUCAGCUCGUGUCGUGAGAUGUUGGGUUAAGUCCCGCAACGAGCGCAACCCUUGAUUUUAGUUGCCAGCAUUUAGUUGGGCACUCUAAAGUGACUGCCGGUGCAAGCCGGAGGAAGGUGGGGAUGACGUCAAAUCAUCAUGCCCCUUAUGACCUGGGCUACACACGUGCUACAAUGGAUAAUACAAAGGGUUGCCAAACCGCGAGGUCGAGCUAAUCCCAUAAAAUUAUUCUCAGUUCGGAUUGUAGCUGCAACUCGCCUACAUGAAGCCGGAAUCACUAGUAAUCGUGGAUCAGCAUGCCACGGUGAAUACGUUCCCGGGCCUUGUACACACGCCCGUCACACCACGAGAGUUUGUAACACCCGAAGUCGGUAGGGUAACCUUUAUGGAGCCAGCCGCCGAAGGUGGGACAGAUAAUUGGGGUGAAGUCGU
rnacentral:rRNA from 1 species